rnacentral:rRNA from 1 species
AACGAACGCUGGCGGCAGGCUUAACACAUGCAAGUCGAACGCCCCGCAAGGGGAGUGGCAGACGGGUGAGUAACGCGUGGGAACAUACCCUUUUCUACGGAAUAGCUCUGGGAAACUGGAAUUAAUACCGUAUACGCCCUACGGGGGAAAGAUUUAUCGGGGAAGGAUUGGCCCGCGUUGGAUUAGCUAGUUGGUGGGGUAAAGGCCUACCAAGGCGACGAUCCAUAGCUGGUCUGAGAGGAUGAUCAGCCACAUUGGGACUGAGACACGGCCCAAACUCCUACGGGAGGCAGCAGUGGGGGAUAUUGGACAAUGGGCGCAAGCCUGAUCCAGCCAUGCCGCGUGAGUGAUGAAGGCCUUAGGGUUGUAAAGCUCUUUCACCGAUGAAGAUAAUGACGGUAGUCGGAGAAGAAGCCCCGGCUAACUUCGUG